AGGCCACGGAAACAAAUCAAAAUGUUCCGGUGACUACGACCCGGGCACAACUCCCCGUCUCGGUCACCAGUCAACGCGAUACAAGCUAUCGACAACCCAAGCACACCGGUUGCGUAACGACUGUUGACUUGCACGCUCGCGGCGCACAACCCAGGGAGCACGCUCCGCAGCGGGUACACAACCACCGUUUGGGAAGGAGUUAGUGUUGUCGGCGGUCUCGGCGGCGCGGAGAGGAAGGAGGAGCGGUGGGGGAGGGCGCCGCGCGUAGGGAGCCUAGUAGCACGGGUUGAGGGGAAGCACAAAGAGGAGGAGGGUCUUGGUGUAGGGUAGCGAAUCCGAGGAACCACCGCCGGCCGAGUUCCGCUCGGACCGCGUCCGCCCCUCUUCGUCGCCCCGCCGCCUACACCCACCCUCUCACGGCUUGCCGCGGCAGUAAUAGCGGGGCGGUUCUGCGUAGCUUCUUCCUGGUCCUAGAGUGGGAGCAGGGAAGAACUACGUGGAGGGGUUCUGCAACGCGGCGGCUGACGUCAUCGGUCCCAACCGCAACCACUACAGACAUCAUAAAAGCAGGAGAGGUCAGUGUGUUAAGGAUCCAAUACCCUGACCUAGAGGUAAAAGGUUCUAAGAAUCGACUAUUCAUAUAACACGCCUUUUUAGAGAUGACUUACUGUUUAGGUUCGUUAGCUGCUUCUAAAGUACGAGUUGGAGGGAGUGCCGGGGUACAAGCCGAUGAAAGGUCAAAACAAUCAAAAGAAGAACCAUCGUGACUUGUGGUACCUUUGUACCCACAGCACCGGUGUGUGUACGUAAAACAGCAGGAGGAAUUUUAAGUCAAUCUAAUAUACGUUUGUACAUCGGCACAAAUGAAUUCUAGGUUAAUCUACUUACAACAAAUAAAAAGGUAUAUCAAAGAUAAAUGUUUCCGGAGUAUACUUUCAACCCCUGUACGGCACUUGUAUACCAAAACACUAGAUACCAGAACUCAGUAUACAACCUACCCACUAUUACCUUUAAAGAACUCCUAUUUGGGCACGUAUUCAAAACACUCUCAAUUUGGACAAAAUACUCUCCAUUUCGACAAAAAACUCUCAAUUUGGGCACGUAUGCUUACAUAAAAAAAUCUUGACCAGUUUGAUAAAAAACACUCUCAAUUUCGACAAAAAACCUCCUGUUUGGGCACUUAUUCAAAGAGUAUACAUAUCUAAUUAAUUAUCCUACCGUUAAAUUCAAAUAACCUCGAGAAAAAUUCUUCACCCCCAGACGAAACCAAAGAACGACAAACGUAUAAGAGAAUUUUUGUGAACUGACUGACGUCGACUGACAAAAAUGUAGUUAUUAUACCCGUCAACUUAUACCGCAAAAGUUCACUUCCUAAAGUUUUUAGAUUAUACCGUACGGAUAAAAAGUACCUUUUUGUUUACCAUGGAAUAAAUGAUAAAUCAAAAAUUCGAUCUGAUUAAACUGAUGUGCGCAGGACUCCACGGAAGACAAAACCUUAUCAGUAUCUUACGAGGAAUAAUGCUCUACAAGGAAACAGUGAUAAACUUCAAGACGGAUCCCACCGGAAACAGAAUCAAAUGUCGAAGUAUACCGAUGGAUACAUAUUGUAUACAUACAAGACAAACUUGACAGAGUUUAGUGUAUCUCUACAAUUUAAAAGUUAAACAACGGAGCGCCAGCACACUGUAGUGGUACAAAUGAGGUCUUUUCACCUUACACGUCUCAAAAACACAACUAAUCAGUUUAUAAACGAAACGGAAUUUCUGAGAGGGGUAGAUACAAGGUCCAACACCGUUGCGACGUCUAUACGGGUAACGGUAACUCGUAAAGAUAGAUAUACGAAGAUGUCUCAUAAACCAAAAACACGAUAUGCGAACUACUUUAUUAAAGGAAUAUUCGACCCUGUUCCGCAAACAUCAACUAUAAACAUGAUAUUCGAGUUAAAAAAACCAAGUAGAGUAGAGACCAAUAAAAAAGCAAAAAACACAAAGACAUCGUAUAAUAGUAAUCGUAUAUUUUGGAGAAUAUAAAGAACAAAAGUUGUUAAUAAGAAACCGUCCCUUCUAAUACUAUUGUGAUUCUAAUAGUACUUUCCUAAGUCCCGAAAAAAACUUAGGUCUAAUAGUGUGUACUACGUUUUAAUUGUUGGUGCUGAAACUUUAUACCUACUACUACGAAUAAUACACGAUCUUUAGUUUAUACAUUUCCUCUUCUAUUACAAACGCUUCCACACAUAUAACUUGUUCGUAGGACUAACUACACAAAAAGACAACAAAGAACUACACGGGAGUACGUCGACACAGGUAUAUAUGACUAACAAUAUGAAUAACAACACACUCAACGCCCUCUCCCCUCUCUCUAUGCCCAACUAAGACCCAUUUGAAACGAAUUAAACAACCUCUUUUACGAGCUAUCUAGAGUACCUACCUACUCCAACACCGUCAUCAAGAGCCCACGUUAUAGAUAGAACUAUCUCACUGGUUGGUCCCGUGUAAUCUUCGUCUUCUUCUCCUUUGCAAACCCGGCAGAUACCGCAACUUCUAAGUCGCAAAGACAGAACACAUGUACGUGCCGGUCAAGUCAUUGAUCUACCGGAAAAGAUGACAUGACCACGACGAUGAAAAGUGUACGAUCGAAGAAACCUUUCGCGGUUGUUACACAUGUUGUACAUUUCUCAGGUAGAACUUCCUUGUCUUCGUCUUGAUACCUCGACUACAUAAUUACCAGUUAGUACCUUAAGUCAGAGCUACUCGAAUUGAUUACUACACACUCAACUCGGAAUCCAGUCAAAGUUUCAUUGCCUUCAUGUUCUCUAAUGAACUUUUAUGUGUAAAAAAGUUACGCUGUACCAGAAUUCACGCUAAAAUAUGGUGGUUUAAUUUUACACCAUAUAGAGUAACACUGUUGUUCG
rnacentral:rRNA from 1 species